CUAAACGUAGAAAACCCUAAUUUCAUCUACAUACCAUCGGUCAUCGUUUCUCCUAAAUCUCUUAUGUCUCUCAAAUUGCUCACUUCAAUUUCUUAUGUCUCUCUAAUUUCUUUCUACCGUCUCUCUCUAUAUAACAUCUCUUAGUAAGACCUAAAUGCUUCGUUCCUUUCUUCUUCACCCAUUCUUUUCGAUUUAUUGUUUGAUUUUUAAUCCCUAAUAUCUCUUUUCACAUAAUCAUUUGUUUACUUAAUUUUUGUUGUUACAAGGUCUCGAUUUUAUGUUUUGUUUAAAAAAUCACAAUUUCAAGAUUUAUCAGCUAAAUAGAAAGCGAUUUUAUGUGUUCGUUAAUAGCCAUCUUCAUAUUCUGAUCUUGACAUACUUUUUCUAUCUUUACACGAAACCGUUUGUAAAAAUUAGGUAGCCAGCAUCGAGGUAUGUAUUUAAACCAUCUUUAAUUGAAAUACGGAUUGGAAUCAGAGAACGAUCUCCUUGAAGCUUUGCAAUCGCCUGGGAUUUCAAGCUCGAACUUGAUUUUUGAUCAACGCCAUGGCUGGCAAACUCAAGCUUUUUUUACAGGUUUCCUGCCUCUUUAUUUUUUAUUUUUUUGUGGUUUUUUUAUGUUGUUUUAUUUCAUGGAUAAUGGCGUUUGGCUAAAAGGUUUUAGUUUCUUACACUCAAGAUACACAUAUUCUAGGUUACAUUGAUGGUCGGAAAUCAUGAAUUUUAAACUCCAUUAUUCUUUGUGAACACCAUUUGUUUGUAAAAAUUCCUCAAAGAAAAAAAAUACCCUACUUCCUAAUUGAGUCAAGGGUAAUAUGAUCAAUUUAUUUAAUGUUUAAGGGGUAAUGACAUAUUUCAUUUGUUACCCAGGUGAGAUUUCUGUUGAGAUCUAGAAGGGAAGGCAAAUUUGCACCUAACUUCAUAAUGUUGUAUCAACUAAGUACUUGAAAUGUUCCACCAUAACUUCUAAUUAAAUCUUUUAUUGAUUAAACUUGUGUAUAAGAUAUGUAACUCAAGGUGGGUUCAUGCAAUGGAAUUGAGAUGUAAGAAUUAGUUUGGUGCAUCUGUUAAAGUUCAUUUUGAAGUUGAUCGGUCUAAAGCUGGUUUACUUACAAUAUAUGGGCCAUUCACUUUCCUCAAGGUUCAUGGUGAGGGUCAUAUGGUUCCAAUGGAUCAACCAAAGGCAACUUUAAGCAUGUUAACGAGGACUUCGAUCCUCGUCUGAUCGAGAAGGAGAAGAUGAACGAAGGCAACAAGGCUGCUUAGGCAGGUCUACGCUUCUUCUUCCUUAGAAGGGAUAUGCGAAAUCUGUUCCUCUUCUACUUCAGCCCUGAGGUGCGAAUCAGAGGAGAUUAGCGACUUCAGGUUAGUGUUUUGUUUAUUGAGUUCGGCUGGAAGAAAAGAAAACGAAAAAGAACUCGAUCAACAUAAGGGAAAAACGAACGAGAUGCAAUAAUAAGGGUGGGUCGAUGAUGGAUACCCACUGCGAACAGGGAGUAGGAAAGGAACUGACGGCAGUAGCAGCUCACAUGGGGCAUUUUCGUUGCUCGAUCGAAUGGGAGAAAGGAAGGUUAUCCUGGGUUCUUGAUUGAUUGAAGAGGGAAGACAUUGGAGCCAAAGUAGAAAGAACGAAGGCAGCAGGACAAUCAUCAACCAUGGCAGUCAUUUGGGUGGCUCCUCUUCAUUUUUUUUUUUGUGAUUCUUGACAGAAUCGAUAUACCUAAGUGGUUGUUUGGGCUUUGGUGUUUGACAGAGGUAAAUGGAAAAGCCUAUCUUUUGUGAACCAUCUUGAGUUUCAUCUCUUAGUUGUUACACAGAAAGUACAGUAGGAAUUUCUUGGUUAAUAUGUUGGGAAAAUGGAAGGAAUUUGGUGGUCUUGCUUAUUAAGUUACUGCACUUUCUCAAGAAUGCAGGCAAUAUUGUUUUAGAAUAAAGAGGGAUUUAGUUUGAAGAAAGCUACUAUUCUUUCAGAAUGAAGAAGGGAAAUAUUCUUCACAUGUAAUCCUACAAAUUGAUCAGACCUAGACAACCAAAAAAGGCAGGGAAACUUUAAUUUUAUUCUUUUACAAUGAUUGUUCUUUAGAAUGAACUCGAAUUUUAUUCUUUAUUUUUUUUCAUAUCAGAAUGUAAAAACAAGUAUAUCACUACAAAUUACUUGGCAAUGAAUUUCUGAUAAAAAUGGCUUGAAGAAUGGCUUGAAGACCUGAUGGGAAAGGCUUUAAGAAUGAAUUAAAGAAUGAUCACACUCAUUGUUUAAGAAUGUUGUUAUUUUUUAAGAAUUAUACUUGUUAUUUUUUCAGAAUGUUUGUUAUUAUUCAAUGAAUCACAAUCAUACAAUGUAAUUAUUUGGUAUAUUAUUAGUUCAAGAAUCGAUUUUGUGUA